CUGAGACUGCGGUGUUCGAGUACCAACUAUUUUUGGGCCAACACUAUUCUAUCGGGAAUCCGGAGUUCACCCGGUAAUGUCAGGCCCCGCUUGUUUCGGGGAAGACAGAGCCGACAUGACAGGAUACCCACCUGUUUCGACAGGACCCAAAAAUUUUUCGACUACGGCACAGGCGGUCUCUUU
rnacentral:other from 2 species